ACCGUUCCUUUUAAUAUUGCACUUAGAUGAAAUGAAACAGACAAAGAAUGGAAGUACUCUGUAUCUCAUCUUUAUAUCAAUAAAUGGUGCAAAUCUGAAAAGAUAGAGGGUCAACAGAGUAAAAGCAGUUAUGAGUUUCUGAAUGUUUUGCAUGAGAUAAAAUAGACACUUCAAAAUGAUUCUGAGCAAUAUUUUCAGCCCGUUAAACAGACCAAACUGAGAGAGGGAUUGAUACAAAGCCUGUUCUUUCUUUCAAAAUAAGCACAGAAUGAAUCAUCCAUUUAAAAUUGUUCCAAUUUGUCACUACUGGUCUGCAUUAAGAAAAAAAAAAAAAAAAACAUUGUUUAUUGUGUGCAUUUCAAUAUUUCCGAAAUCAUUUCCACUCCAGUCAAAUUGCUGAAGCAAUUUGCAAUUCGAACCAUUUUUAUAAUUGAAAAGAAGCAACACAAUUACCAAUGAGAAGAAAACUAGAAUUUUUCAGUUGUUAAACCAUAUUUCAUGCAUAAUUUCAACUUAGCCGCUUGUAACAUGAUGUUGAUGUACCACUGAGGUGAAUAUGAAAUUUAUUGCCAUCAACAUAAAACAAAUCAGUGCAAACUCGCUCCAAUGAUGCUGCCCAACAAAUGCACCACCAGAAACCCUAGGAGUUUUAAUAUUCUGCAAAUAUGCCAAACAAUUGUUACAGUAUACUAGCAUGCAGACCAGUUGAGAAAGAAAACAACACUACAGGAUCUGCACAGUAAAAAAAGGAAUAAUACAAUGUGUUUGUCAGAUUGUGUCUGUUGAAGGCACAUUUUAACACGUCAGGUGCACAGGCGACCAUUUCUUUAUACUGAAACUCAUAUCUGUAUCACAUACAGGGAAAAGUCAAAUCUGUGAAAAAGUGCCCUUCUCUUACAAACCAUUAAAAUAAAAACGUACAGCAUACAUUCACAGGUAAUAAAGAAAAAAAAAAAAAACAGCCGCCACAAUGAUGAAAGUGAAACACGCUUCAAGAUAGACCAUACGCAUAUAGAUAAAUAAUCUGUUUGCUUUUUUCAAUGCUUCGAGAACCCCUUUCCUUUCACAGUCGUCGUAGAUCUUGCAUUGCAGACCAAAGUUAACCAUAAUUAAUGGUGUGCCUUAAAAGGUACAAAGACAAUGUUAUUUGGUAAUUGCAAAAGAACACAGUAACGCAUUUUUCUUACAAUAAAAAAAAAUAAUAAAUGAAUGAUUGAAAGGGUGAAUAAAAGGUCAUGAAAUAUGCAUGUGAUGUGCCUAAAAAGACAA